rnacentral:rRNA from 1 species
GGGUUGUGAGGUUAAGCGACUAAGCGUACACGGUGGAUGCCCUGGCAGUCAGAGGCGAUGAAGGGCGUGCUAAUCUGCGAUAAGCGCCGGUAAGGUGAUAUGAACCGUUAUAACCGGCGAUACCCGAAUGGGGAAACCCAGUGUGACUCGUCACACUAUCAUUAACUGAAUCCAUAGGUUAAUGAGGCGAACCGGGGGAACUGAAACAUCUAAGUACCCCGAGGAAAAGAAAUCAACCGAGAUUCCCCAGUAGCGGCGAGCGAACGGGGAGGAGCCCAGAGCCUGAAUCAGCAUGUGUGUUAGUGGAAGCGUCUGGAAAGGCGCGCGAUACAGGGUGACAGCCCGUACACAAAAGCGCAUGUGCUGUGAGCUCGAUGAGUAGGGCGGGACACGUGGUAUCCUGUCUGAAUAUGGGGGGACCAUCCUCCAAGGCUAAAUACUCCUGACUGACCGAUAGUGAACCAGUACCGUGAGGGAAAGGCGAAAAGAACCCCGGCGAGGGGAGUGAAAAAGAACCUGAAACCGUGUACGUACAAGCAGUGGGAGCACAGGUUUACCUGUGUGACUGCGUACCUUUUGUAUAAUGGGUCAGCGACUUAUAUUCUGUAGCAAGGUUAACCGAAUAGGGGAGCCGGAGGGAAACCGAGUCUUAAUUGGGCGUUAAGUUGCAGGGUAUAGACCCGAAACCCGGUGAUCUAGCCAUGGGCAGGUUGAAGGUUGGGUAACACUAACUGGAGGACCGAACCGACUAAUGUUGAAAAAUUAGCGGAUGACCUGUGGCUGGGGGUGAAAGGCCAAUCAAACCGGGAGAUAGCUGGUUCUCCCCGAAAGCUAUUUAGGUAGCGCCUCGUGAACUCAUCUCCGGGGUAGAGCACUGUUUCGGCUAGGGGGCCAUCCCGGCUUACCAACCCGAUGCAAACUGCGAAUACCGGAGAAUGUUAUCACGGGAGACACACGGCGGGUGCUAACGUCCGUCGUGAAGAGGGAAACAACCCAGACCGCCAGCUAAGGUCCCAAAGUCAUGGUUAAGUGGGAAACGAUGUGGGAAGGCCCAGACAGCCAGGAUGUUGGCUUAGAAGCAGCCAUCAUUUAAAGAAAGCGUAAUAGCUCACUGGUCGAGUCGGCCUGCGCGGAAGAUGUAACGGGGCUAAACCAUGCACCGAAGCUGCGGCAGCGACACUGUGUGUUGUUGGGUAGGGGAGCGUUCUGUAAGCCUGUGAAGGUGGCCUGUGAGGGUUGCUGGAGGUAUCAGAAGUGCGAAUGCUGACAUAAGUAACGAUAAAGCGGGUGAAAAGCCCGCUCGCCGGAAGACCAAGGGUUCCUGUCCAACGUUAAUCGGGGCAGGGUGAGUCGACCCCUAAGGCGAGGCCGAAAGGCGUAGUCGAUGGGAAACAGGUUAAUAUUCCUGUACUUGGUGUUACUGCGAAGGGGGGACGGAGAAGGCUAUGUUGGCCGGGCGACGGUUGUCCCGGUUUAAGCGUGUAGGCUGGUUUUCCAGGCAAAUCCGGAAAAUCAAGGCUGAGGCGUGACGACGAGGCACUACGGUGCUGAAGCAACAAAUGCCCUGCUUCCAGGAAAAGCCUCUAAGCAUCAGGUAACAUCAAAUCGUACCCCAAACCGACACAGGUGGUCAGGUAGAGAAUACCAAGGCGCUUGAGAGAACUCGGGUGAAGGAACUAGGCAAAAUGGUGCCGUAACUUCGGGAGAAGGCACGCUGACACGUAGGUGAAGUGAUUUACUCACGGAGCUGAAGUCAGUCGAAGAUACCAGCUGGCUGCAACUGUUUAUUAAAAACACAGCACUGUGCAAACACGAAAGUGGACGUAUACGGUGUGACGCCUGCCCGGUGCCGGAAGGUUAAUUGAUGGGGUCAGCGCAAGCGAAGCUCCUGAUCGAAGCCCCGGUAAACGGCGGCCGUAACUAUAACGGUCCUAAGGUAGCGAAAUUCCUUGUCGGGUAAGUUCCGACCUGCACGAAUGGCGUAAUGAUGGCCAGGCUGUCUCCACCCGAGACUCAGUGAAAUUGAACUCGCUGUGAAGAUGCAGUGUACCCGCGGCAAGACGGAAAGACCCCGUGAACCUUUACUAUAGCUUGACACUGAACAUUGAGCCUUGAUGUGUAGGAUAGGUGGGAGGCUUUGAAGCGUGGACGCCAGUCUGCGUGGAGCCGACCUUGAAAUACCACCCUUUAAUGUUUGAUGUUCUAACGUGGACCCGUUACCCGGGUUGCGGACAGUGUCUGGUGGGUAGUUUGACUGGGGCGGUCUCCUCCUAAAGAGUAACGGAGGAGCACGAAGGUUGGCUAAUCCUGGUCGGACAUCAGGAGGUUAGUGCAAUGGCAUAAGCCAGCUUGACUGCGAGCGUGACGGCGCGAGCAGGUGCGAAAGCAGGUCAUAGUGAUCCGGUGGUUCUGAAUGGAAGGGCCAUCGCUCAACGGAUAAAAGGUACUCCGGGAUAACAGGCUGAUACCGCCCAAGAGUUCAUAUCGACGGCGGUGUUUGGCACCUCGAUGUCGGCUCAUCACAUCCUGGGGCUGAAGUAGGUCCCAAGGGUAUGGCUGUUCGCCAUUUAAAGUGGUACGCGAGCUGGGUUUAGAACGUCGUGAGACAGUUCGGUCCCUAUCUGCCGUGGGCGCUGGAGAACUGAGGGGGGCUGCUCCUAGUACGAGAGGACCGGAGUGGACGCAUCACUGGUGUUCGGGUUGUCAUGCCAAUGGCACUGCCCGGUAGCUAAAUGCGGAAGAGAUAAGUGCUGAAAGCAUCUAAGCACGAAACUUGCCCCGAGAUGAGUUCUCCCUGAGACUUAGAGUCUCCUGAAGGAACGUUGAAGACGACGACGUUGAUAGGCCGGGUGUGUAAGCGCAGCGAUGCGUUGAGCUAACCGGUACUAAUGAACCGUGAGGCUUAACCUUACAACGCCGAAGCUGUU